GCAACGAGAGAUUCGAUUGGUCGAUUUGAAUCAAGUUGGUUUUGAAAAAUAGGCAGCGCUCAAGGUGUUUCAUCCGCAUCGUCACGUAUCACCUUUUGUUUACGCCCGCGUCCGGGCAAGGACGAAACAAAACGCAAUAUUCGUCGGGAAUCGUGAUUCCCAAACACCUUCUGCAUAAACAACGCCGCCGUCCAGUUCUGACCUUCCGACACGCCUGAUCGCGUUCGGCGGUAAGAUAAAAUCAAAUGGAUGGUAAUACAACCAGACUUCCAGGAGGGCGACAAAAUUUUCCCGGACAUGGUGAACGACAAAUUCUGAGAUAAAAUCAAAUGGACGGUAAUACAACCAGACUUCCAGGAGGGCGACAAAAUUUUCCCGGACAUGGUGAACGACAAAUUCUGAGAUAAAAUUAAAUGGAAGGUAAUACAACCAGAGUUCCAGGAGAGUGACAAAAUUUUCCCGGACAUGGUGAACGACAAAUUCUGAGAUAAAAUCAAAUGGACGGUAAUACAACGAGACUUCCAGGAGAGCGACAAAAUUUUCCCGGACAUGAUGAACGACAAAUUCUGAGGGAAGUCAAGUUCCAGAAGUAUUGGAGAGAUAGUGUAUAUCGCCCGAGUGCCGCAGUUCCAAUCAGGUGGUGAGUCUUGAAAAUUUAUCGCUUUGAACAUAAAUCGCCUGUACAUAAACUACCGUACGUCCAUCUUCGAAAUUGGUACUAGCACGUUACACAUUCGCCAUAAAAUCUGCACAUUUACAAAUGUGGCGGACGAGAGAGAACAACGUCGUGAAAACGUUCACUGUUAAUUUAAAUAUAGUUCAGCAUUACACUUGACGCUCGAGAUUCGAUGUAUUGAUGAUCUGAAAAAAAAAAAGA
rnacentral:lncRNA from 1 species